rnacentral:lncRNA from 1 species
CAGUCGCCGGUGGUGGCGGAGACUUCCCCUCAGGAAGCCGGGUCUCCGCCUCCUCCUCUAACCCCGCCUCCUCGGCGGCGGAGGCGGCGGUGGCGGCAGCGCCUGUCCCUGCCUCUCCGCCAUCUCCACCCCGGCCUAUUCCCCGGCCGGCGGCGUUGGCGGGGAGGGGGAACAGUAGUUGUAGACGCCCGCCCCUGCCUCAGAGAAGCUUCCUGGUUGUUGCACAGUCUCUCCAUGUGGGGAAAGUUCAUGCUAGAAAACUGAAGCAAUUAAUAGGUGACUAUGAUCAGAUUUCUUCACCAAGUUCUCAGCCUGAGAAGGAG